AACGCGAAGAACCUUACCCAGGCUCGAAAUGCAGAGGCUACCGGCAGAGAUGUCGGGUUCCGCAAGGACUUCUGUAUAGGUGCUGCAUGGCUGUCGUCAGCUCGUGCCGUGAGGUGUUGGGUUAAGUCCCGCAACGAGCGCAACCCUUACUCAUAGUUGCUACCCGCAAGGGAGAACUCUAUGAGGACUGCUCCGGAUAACGGAGAGGAAGGUGGGGAUGAGGUCAAGUCAGCAUGGCCUUUAUGUCCAGGGCUACACACGUGUUACAAUGCGCGCCACAAAGCGUUGCGAACCCGCGAGGGGGAGCUAAUCGCAAAAAAGCGCGCUCAGUUCGGAUUGCAGUCUGCAACUCGACUGCAUGAAGCCGGAAUCGCUAGUAAUGGCGCAUCAGAACGGCGCCGUGAAUACGUUCCCGGGCCUUGUACACACCGGCUAC
rnacentral:rRNA from 1 species